rnacentral:rRNA from 1 species
CGCGUAGGUGGUAAUGUAAGCCUGAGGUGGAAUCCCAGGGCUUAACCCUGGAACUGCCUUGGAAACUGCAUUACUUGAGUCAGUGAGGGGAGGGUAGAAUUCCUGGUGUAGCGGUGAAAUGCGUAGAUAUCAGGAGGAAGGCCUGUGGCGAAGGCGGCCCUCUGGUGCUGGACUGACACUGAGGCGCGAAAGCGUGGGGAGCAAACAGGAUUAGAUACCCUGGUAGUCCACGCCCUAAACGGUGGGCACUAGGUGUAGGGCUCGUAAGGGUUCUGUGCCGAAGGGAAACCAUUAAGUCGCCCCGCCUGGGGAGUACGGCCGCAAGGUUGAA